rnacentral:rRNA from 1 species
CAGGUAGUCAAGAUGAGAAUUCUAAGGUGAGCGAGCGAACUCUCGUUAAGGAACUCGGCAAAAUGACCCCGUAACUUCGGGAGAAGGGGUGCUCUUUGAGGUUCACGCUUCGAAGAGCCGCAGUGAAUAGGCCCAAGCGACUGUUUAUCAAAAACACAGGUCUCUGCUAAACCGUAAGGUGACGUAUAGGGGCUGACGCCUGCCCGGUGCUGGAAGGUUAAGAGGAGUGGUUAGCGCAAGCGAAGCUACGAAUCGAAGCCCCAGUAAACGGCGGCCGUAACUAUAACGGUCCUAAGGUAGCGAAAUUCCUUGUCGGGUAAGUUCCGACCCGCACGAAAGGCGUAACGAUUUGGGCACUGUCUCAACGAGAGACUCGGUGAAAUCAUAGUACCGGUGAAGAUGCCGGUUACCCGCGACAGGACGGAAAGACCCCGUGGAGCUUUACUGUAGCCUGAUAUUGAAAUUCGGUACAGUUUGUACAGGAUAGGUAGGAGCCUUAGAAGCGUGAGCGCUAGCUUACGUGGAGGCAUUGGUGGGAUACUACCCUAAUUGUAUUGGAUUUCUAACCCGCAGCACUUAUCGUGCUGGGAGACAGUGUCAGGCGGGCAGUUUGACUGGGGCGGUCGCCUCCUAAAGAGUAACGGAGGCGCUCAAAGGUUCCCUCAGAAUGGUUGGAAAUCAUUCAUAGAGUGUAAAGGCAUAAGGGAGCUUGACUGCGAGACCUACAAGUCGAGCAGGGUCGAAAGACGGACUUAGUGAUCCGGUGGUUCCGCAUGGAAGGGCCAUCGCUCAACGGAUAAAAGCUACCCCGGGGAUAACAGGCUUAUCUCCCCCAAGAGUUCACAUCGACGGGGAGGUUUGGCACCUCGAUGUCGGCUCAUCGCAUCCUGGGGCUGUAGUCGGUCCCAAGGGUUGGGCUGUUCGCCCAUUAAAGCGGUACGCGAGCUGGGUUCAGAACGUCGUGAGACAGUUCGGUCCCUAUCCGUCGUGGGCGUAGGAAAUUUGAGAGGAGCUGUCCUUAGUACGAGAGGACCGGGAUGGACAUACCUCUGGUGUACCAGUUGUCGUGCCAACGGCAUAGCUGGGUAGCUAUGUAUGGACGGGAUAAGUGCUGAAAGCAUCUAAGCAUGAAGCCCCCCUCGAGAUGAGAUUUCCCAACUUCGGUUAUAAGAUCCCUCAAAGAUGAUGAGGUGAAUAGGUUCGAGGUGGAAGCGUAGCGAUACGUGGAGCUGACGAAUACUA